AAAGUCGUAACAAGGUUUCCGUAGGUGAACCUGCGGAAGGAUCAUUAUCGAAUAAAAGAGAUGUGCGUCUCGCACUCUCGAAUCCAAUCACCUGUGCACUGAAUUUAUAUGCUCUGAAUGAACAAAUAUAUAUUAAUUAACCAAACGUAACACAACUUUCAACAACGGAUCUCUUGGUUCUC
rnacentral:misc_RNA from 1 species